AAAUUUGGGUUUUAACUUAGAUUUGGGUGGCGGACGGGUGAGUAACGCGUAAAGAACUUGCCUCACAGCUAGGGACAACAUUUAGAAAUGAAUGCUAAUACCUGAUAUUAUGGUUAUAGGGCAUCCUAUAAUUAUGAAAGCUAUAAGCACUGUGAGAGAGCUUUGCGUCCCAUUAGCUAGUUGGAGAGGUAACAGCUCACCAAGGCGAUGAUGGGUAGCCGGCCUGAGAGGGUGAACGGCCACAAGGGGACUGAGACACGGCCCUUACUCCUACGGGAGGCAGCAGUGGGGAAUAUUGGACAAUGGACCGAGAGCCUGAUCCAGCAAUUCUGUGUGCACGAUGAAGUUUUUCGGAAUGUAAAGUGCUUUCAGUUGGGAAGAAAGAAAUGACGGUACCAACAGAAGAAGUGACGGCUAAAUACGUGCCAGCAGCCGCGGUAAUACGUAUGUCACGAGCGUUAUCCGGAUUUAUUGGGCGUAAAGCGCGUCUAGGUGGUUAUGUAAGUCUGAUGUGAAAAUGCAGGGCUCAACUCUGUAUUGCGUUGGAAACUGUAUAACUAGAGUACUGGAGAGGUAAGCGGAACUACAAGUGUAGAGGUGAAAUUCGUAGAUAUUUGUAGGAAUGCCGAUGGGGAAGCCAGCUUACUGGACAGAUACUGACGCUAAAGCGCAAAAGCGUGGGUAGCAAACAGG
rnacentral:rRNA from 1 species